rnacentral:rRNA from 1 species
AUUCGACCUCAAAUCAGGUAGGACUACCCGCUGAACUUAAGCAUAUCAAUAGUGGAGGAAA